AUAACCGACACAGGUGGGUAGGUAGAGUAUACUAAGGGGCGCGAGAUAACUCUCUCUAAGGAACUCGGCAAAAUAACUCCGUAACUUCGGGAGAAGGAGUGCCUUUUUAAGGCUGCAAUAACCAGAUCCAAGCAACUGUUUAUCAAAAACACAGGUCUCCGCUAAGUCGUAAGACGAUGUAUGGGGGCUGACGCCUGCCCAGUGCCAGAAGGUUAAAGAAGUUGGUUAGCCCUGCGAAGCUGAUGACUGAAGCCCUGGUGAACGGCGGCCGUAACGAUAACGGCCCUAAGGUAGCGAAAUUCCUUGUCGGGUAAGUUCCGACCCGCACGAAAGGCGUAAUGAUUUGGAUACUGUCUCGGAGAGGGACUCGGUGAAAUAGACUUGUCUGUGAAGAUGCGGACUACCUGCACCAGGACAGAAAGACCCUAUGAAGCUUUACUGUAACUUGAGAUUGAAAUUGGACUUUAUUUGCGCAGUAUAGGUGGGAGGCGUUGAAAAUAUUCUUGCGGGAAUAUCGGAGCCAUCAGUGAGAUACCACUCUUGUAAUGUUAGAUUUCUAACUUUGCAUCAUUAUCUGGUCAAAGGACAGUUUCAGGCGGGCAGUUUGACUGGGGCGGUCGCCUCCCAAAUGGUAACGGAGGCGCACAAAGGUUUCCUCUGAACGGGUAGAAAUCGUAUCUAGAGUGUAAAGGCAUAAGGAAGCUUGACUGUGAGACCUACAAGUCGAGCAGGGACGAAAGUCGGUCUUAGUGAUCUGACGGUGCUGAGUGGAAAGGCCGUCACUCAACGGAUAAAAGUUACUCUAAGGAUAACAGGCUGAUCUCCCCCAAGAGUUCACAUCGACGGGGAGGUUUGGCACCUCGAUGUCGGCUCAUCGCAUCCUGGGGCGGUAGUACGUCCCAAGGGUUGGGCUGUUCGCCCAUGAAAGCGGUACGCGAGCUGGGUUCAGAACGUCGUGAGACAGUUCGGUCCAUAUCCGGUGUAGGCGUUAGAAUAUUGAGAGGAGCCUUCUUUAGUACGAGAGGACCGAGAAGGACAUACCUCUGGUGUACCAGUUAUCGUGCCAACGGUAAACGCUGGGUAGCUAUGUAUGGAGUGGAUAACCGCUGAAAGCAUCUAAGUGGGAAGCCCACCUCAAGAUGAGUAUUCUGGUGUAAGGUCACGGGAAGACGACCCGUAAAUAGGCACGAGGUGGAAGUGCAGAGAUGUAUGAAGCCGAAGUGUACUAAUAGACCGUCGGCUUGAC
rnacentral:rRNA from 1 species